UUGCUCCCGCUGACGAGUGGCGAACGGGUGAGUAAUGCAUCGGAACGUGCCGAAUAGUGGGGGAUAACGCACCGAAAGGUGUGCUAAUACCGCAUACGCCCUGAGGGGGAAAGUGGGGGACCGCAAGGCCUCACGCUAAUCGAGCGGCCGAUGUCGGAUUAGCUAGUUGGUGGGGUAAAGGCUCACCAAGGCGACGAUCCGUAGCGGGUCUGAGAGGAUGAUCCGCCACACUGGGACUGAGACACGGCCCAGACUCCUACGGGAGGCAGCAGUGGGGAAUUUUGGACAAUGGGGGAAACCCUGAUCCAGCCAUGCCGCGUGUCUGAAGAAGGCCUUCGGGUUGUAAAGGACUUUUGUCCGGGAGGAAACCCUGAUCGUUAAUAGCGGUCGGGACUGACAGUACCGGAAGAAUAAGCACCGGCUAACUACGUGCCAGCAGCCGCGGUAAUACGUAGGGUGCAAGCGUUAAUCGGAAUUACUGGGCGUAAAGCGUGCGCAGGCGGUGAGAUAAGUCAGCUGUGAAAGCCCCGGGCUCAACCUGGGAACUGCGGCCGAAACUGUCUCGCUAGAGUACGUCAGAGGGGGGUGGAAUUCCACGUGUAGCAGUGAAAUGCGUAGAGAUGU
rnacentral:rRNA from 1 species